rnacentral:rRNA from 1 species
UUAUAAGAGACAGCAGUAGCCGCGGGAAUACAGAGGGUGCGAGCGUUAAUCGGAUUUACUGGGCGUAAAGCGUGCGUAGGCGGCUUUUUAAGUCGGAUGUGAAAUCCCUGAGCUUAACUUAGGAAUUGCAUUCGAUACUGGGAAGCUAGAGUAUGGGAGAGGAUGGUAGAAUUCCAGGUGUAGCGGUGAAAUGCGUAGAGAUCUGGAGGAAUACCGAUGGCGAAGGCAGCCAUCUGGCCUAAUACUGACGCUGAGGUACGAAAGCAUGGGGAGCAAACAGGAUUAGAUACCCCCGUAGUCCCUGUCUCUUAUAC